GUGGUUGUGGCUCAGUGGUGGAGUGCUUGCCUAGCACAUGUGAGGCCCUGGGUUUGAUCCUCAGCACCACA
rnacentral:tRNA from 1 species